CUGGACAAACUUCCCUCUACACUGUCAGAGAUGGAGAUGAUGCCACUUUGCCUUGUGAAAAUGUGGUGACUGUUCAGGAUAAAUGUGGCAGUACUUCCUGGAUCUUUGUUUCAAAAAGAAAAGCAGUAGAGCUGAUUAGACUUGGACAGAUUGGUGAAAAAGUCAAAGAUCAAUCAGACAGACUGAGUGUUACAGCGAACGGUUCUCUGGUUAUAAAGAAGGUCACAGUUGAGGAUGUUGGUGCUUACACCUGCAGACAGUACAAAUCAGGGCAACAACAAGGUCAAGACUAUCGGGUUGAUCUGUCUGUUGUUACCAUGACUGAACAUAAGGACAAUGAUAAGGUGAUGUUAAACUGCACUGUGUUGACACGUGGAGAGUGUGACCAGACAGUGAAGUGGGUGUAUGAGGGUAAUGAUUGGGAUGUGAACAUUCAGCACAUGAAUGAGUCACAGUCUUCUUGCUUUGCCACUGUGACAUUUACAACUUCCCAUCUUGCUGAGACGUCAAAGUAUUCUGAGUCAUUCAAGUGUAACGUGACAGAUUUUUACACUGGAAAAGUGCAUCUGUUUGCCUUCAGCCCUCAGUCUUCAGGUGAGGACACUACAACAACAAAAUCAACAAAAACAACAAAAUUAC